AUUCUACUCCCUCCAUUCCACAAUACAUGCCUUCUAUUUGUCAAAAUAUAGAUGUAUCUAGACAUAUUUUAGUAUAUAGGUACAUCCAUUUUUGGACAAAUGGAAGUCAAGUAUUUUGGAACGGAGGGAGUACACA
rnacentral:pre_miRNA from 1 species